rnacentral:lncRNA from 1 species
AAAAAAAAAAUAAAAAAAAAUCGGUCUCAUCCUGGCCUGGGUCGUAUCCCUCUUCUCCCCUCACCACCUCCUCCCCUCACCAAACCCGUCGAAACCCUAAAUGGAACCCUAACCCUAACCUGAACCAAACCCGAUGCCACUCCACCGCACCUUCCCCUGCGUCGACCUCACACGAGCGCCCCCACCCUCAACUCCUUCUCUCCCUCACCCCCUCCUCUCUGAGCUCGAGCUCUCCCCCUCUCCUUCACCUCUACUCAUCCUCUCCUCCCUCAACCUCCGCGUUCUCUCCAAGCUGCGAACUCAUCCCCAAAUCGCCUUCGUUAUCGCCCCUGACCUUCUUGGCCCCGCGA